UGUUGAUCCAUUUCGAAGUUAUCUCUCUCCUCUCAUGGUUCAAAACCUUGUAUGUGCACAAAAUUGGCUUCAAGCCACGGUACCAAUUUCUCAUCGCCAAUCAAGGGAUGAGGUUGAGGCAUUGGAGGAGGAAUUUCAUGAUUUAGUUUUAAAUCAACAGUCAUCAUCAAGUGCAUCAGUAAGUACCAGCUCCAAAUUGGGUUCUAGCUUAGGCAAACGACCCAUAAUUAGUGUUGAAGAUUGAUAACUGAGUUGGCGGAAUCACUUAUUUUGUGAAGGAGGCAGAACCUUUUGGGAACAUUUUGGAAGCUUUUAUGUAAAUUGCUUUUCUAACAAUACUAGUCUUAAUGCUUAUAGGAAAGAAAUCCUAGGAAUCAUAUAGGUUUUCUUUUCUAUUAGUUAUAAGCUUGAGAAUUUGUCAUUUAAUGUUUGGGAAAAGCUAUUUUUUUUUUGGAAAUACCUGUGGUAUUUUAUAAUUUGUAAUUAAUUAUAUUGCUGGGAACAUUGUAUAGCCAGCAAGGUUGCUGCCUUAUGAUUUACUGCCUUGUGGAAACAUUGAUUUUACUGCCUUAUAAUUAA